UACGUAGGGGGGCAAGCGUUGUCCGGAUUUAUUGGGCGUAAAGAGCGUGUAGGCGGCCAGGUAGGUCAGCUGUGAAAACUCGAGGCUCAACCUCGAGACGCCGGUUGAAACCAUCUGGCUAGAGUCCGGAAGAGGAGAGUGGAAUUCCUGGUGUAGCGGUGAAAUGCGCAGAUAUCAGGAAGAACACCCGUGGCUAAGGCGGCUCUCUAGUACGGUACUGACGCUGAGACGCGAAAAGCGUGGGGGAGCGAACAGG
rnacentral:rRNA from 1 species